GGUGAAAAGCACCCCGGAAGGGGAGUGAAAUAGAACCUGAAACCGUGUGCUUACAAGUAGUCAGAGCCCGUUAAUGGGUGAUGGCGUGCCUUUUGUAGAAUGAACCGGCGAGUUACGAUUUGAUGCAAGGUUAAGCAGUAAAUGUGGAGCCGUAGCGAAAGCGAGUCUGAAUAGGGCGUUUAGUAUUUGGUCGUAGACCCGAAACCAGGUGAUCUACCCUUGGUCAGGUUGAAGUUCAGGUAACACUGAAUGGAGGACCGAACCGACUUACGUUGAAAAGUGAGCGGAUGAACUGAGGGUAGCGGAGAAAUUCCAAUCGAACCUGGAGAUAGCUGGUUCUCUCCGAAAUAGCUUUAGGGCUAGCCUCAAGUGAUGAUUAUUGGAGGUAGAGCACUGUUUGGACGAGGGGCCCCUCUCGGGUUACCGAAUUCAGACAAACUCCGAAUGCCAAUUAAUUUAACUUGGGAGUCAGAACAUGGGUGAUAAGGUCCGUGUUCGAAAGGGAAACAGCCCAGACCACCAGCUAAGGUCCCAAAAUAUAUGUUAAGUGGAAAAGGAUGUGGCGUUGCCCAGACAACUAGGAUGUUGGCUUAGAAGCAGCCAUCAUUUAAAGAGUGCGUAAUAGCUCACUAGUCGAGUGACACUGCGCCGAAAAUGUACCGGGGCUAAACAUAUUACCG
rnacentral:rRNA from 1 species